ensembl:lncRNA MIR7515HG MIR7515 host gene
AUGGAAGCUGUGUUCAGGCCGGUCCACGCUGGGUGACCCAUGUGACCUGCUGCUUAGCAAUUCCUUGUCACCAUCUUCCCUUCUCAGCCUCUUUUUUCAUGCUAACAGGCAUAAAUGAAAUGAUAAAAGUUUGAGCUCUUCUCGUGGAAUUCUCGUGAUACAGAUAUGUGCUACAUGUUCAUCAUCUCGUUGGUCUUCACCAUGAUAACUGUGGAGUAAGAAUUAUAAGCAGGUCACAGAUUAGGGACUUGAGAUUGACAGUUUGGCUUCCCUGUUCUGGGUGGCAAAGCCUGUGGAGUACUCACCUACCUGCUGCAUGAAGGCAGCAUGGAGGGACUGUGGUGGAUUAUCUGCAAAGAUGGCCAAAAUUCUCUCAUCCCUGCAGGCACAUACAAGAUGCCAGAAUCAGUCAAAACUAAGCUCACUGUCCUUGCUAAUAUUCUGCCCCAGAGAAGAACUGAAGCUCAGCUCUUCACCCUACAGAAAGCCUGAAUUUUGUAAAUGUUCUGCUUAGAAUGAGGAAGAAAGAUGAAGAAUGAGGAGGAAGAAGGAAGGAACGAGAGAGAGGUUGUUGCAUGGCAUAAGUAAAGUGACAGUUAUAGGAUACAUGCAACUUUUCAGUGACAAAGAUCUGUGCAGCAUCGACAGUACUGCCUAAUGAGGUUUCACCAUAAUGAAGUAUCACAACCAGUUUACAGACCAGAAAACUGAGACACAGGAAGGGGUGGUGACUUGAGCAAGGUGCAUCAGCUGGUUUCCAGAAGUUCCCCAGUCAUUGAGCAUUUCUGAGGCUCUUGAUGCAUAUGCCAAGUAGUUAUGGAGAAAGACACAGCAGCUUACCUCUGCAGGCAUCAUUGUGUGAAAGGAAGACCCAGGCUCUCUCACCACCCUUGAACAGAAGCCUUUUGCUAAGGUGAUAGCUACAUGUCCAAGCCUAUUGCGUGGCAUGCAUUUUGCCUUCUGCAGCCCACUAAAGGAGUUUGCAGUUCACCCGCAAACCUCAGCGAUCCAAGCUCCCCUGGAUGACCAUCACUCACCAAGAAAAGAGCAAUAACAGGACCUGUUUUGCUAAUCCAGGACUGUUCUCCAGCACUAACUCUAAAUAAUCCCUUCUGCUAGAGUCCACUUUCUGGAACCUGUUGGAGAAGACAUCUUACUCUUAUUGGAUCAUGCACAGUGCCUGAAGCAUUCUGUUGCAUGUAGAAGUCAGUAAAUUGCAGAUGUAAGAUUCAAAACCAGACUUCACAUCUACCGACUUCAGUGACCCUGAAAUUUGUUCACAGAGAGCAUUUAACAUAACUGUCUUCAUCAUCUCCUUCUCUACAUUAAAAAUUAUGGAAUAUACAGGGAGGUGUGAUGUACCCAUUAUCACAAGCAGAUGGAAUCCCUAUAGAGUCGGAUCUCAUCUACAUAUCACCUAUUAUAUGUAGUUAUUGAUGGAUAAAUACUUCAACAACUAAAGGCAGAAAGAGAGCAGUUCACAAAGACGUUAUUGGUGAUUCAAUCUUGAGUCAUGAAAAGUCAACCUUGAGCCACAAAAAGUCAACCUUGAGCCAAGCAGAUUGGAGAGUCAUACAUGCCAUUCCUGGGACCAUCAAAAAUGGCAGAGGUCACACAAAAAGGCAAAACUUUUAAGAGGUGUUUUAAACGUCGUAUGGGCCAAAGAGAAGCUGGAUUUCCUAUUGGAGUCACCUGUAACACACGUGUGACGAAAUUGGCCUGUGAGGACAAGGCAGUGAGCAGAGAGGACAGCAGUCCUUAUGAGAUCAAGCUCUAAGUUUUGAGAAGAAUGCGAAGAAGAAAGGAAGAGUGAGCCUCUCUUUCCC